rnacentral:lncRNA from 1 species
UUGGACUCUUGCAACAGAUCACAAAAAAUAAAAACAGCCACUUGCAGUGACUUUGGUCAUUUCUGUAUGUUCACAAGGAAUGGAUUGUAACAAAGAAAAAAAGGAACAGUGUUAGUGAAAGAGGAAAAAUGGGCGAAACCAUCUUGAUCCAAUGGGAAUGCAGUAAUGUUCUAUACAUUUCACCUAUUUCUUUUCGUCAUGUUGAUUUGAUUUCAGUUUUCGGCUAUUAAAUUUUCUUUAACUCAAAUGACCCACAACAAAACUGAGCAAAAUGACUACAGCGAAAGCCCUUUUCAGUGGAAGAAGUCAGAAAUCUCAAAACCCUUGGCCUGACUCAGAACUACCAUGUGCAAACCAGUACUCUUUUAAUGUUUGAAAUAAAACUGAAAAAAAAAAAAAAAAAAACCUUUUUUGAAGCACCUUAAUGUGGCCACCCAUUCAAGGAAUGGGUGCCACUUUUUUCUUUGAGCACCUUAUUGACGUGUUUUGCUAUCUGCUGUCUUUCUGUUACCUGUUGGCUGAAUGGCUAGCUGUUAACACACGCAUGCGCACAGACUAGAGGGCGGGGCCUGCGUGUUCUCAGUGAAGUUUACUGUGGUGACUGCUGAAAGGUGAACCCGUUUCCUGAUCUUCCCGCCACAGUGUUGUGAUAAGAUUCGAAGAAACCGUAUUCCCUGCACAGAAAUGUUUCUUAUCACAUUGUAUCUUAGUAUGGAAAGGAACAUGGUCCCUUUUUUGCAAUUGCUACUGAAAAAGAGAUCUUUAAACUGAAAGAAUAAUUUCCCACGAGGAACCUAGGCUUGAUGACCGCAGAGAUUGUCCCCUCCAAUCCUUGCAGGUGGACAAGGGACACUGUUGUAUCAGUCUGUGUACCGUUCAACCCAUGGAAACACGAACACACACACCCAUCCACCCGUCAAUAUACACAUGUGGUUUGGAAUGAGCAGGUCAAUAGUUUUGAGAGGGAGUUUGUUCCUUUUUUUUUUUCCUCAUUAUA